rnacentral:rRNA from 1 species
GGGACCAUCCUCCAAGGCUAAAUACUCCUGACUGACCGAUAGUGAACCAGUACCGUGAGGGAAAGGCGAAAAGAACCCCGGCGAGGGGAGUGAAAAAGAACCUGAAACCGUGUACGUACAAGCAGUGGGAGCACGCUUAGGCGUGUGACUGCGUACCUUUUGUAUAAUGGGUCAGCGACUUAUAUUCUGUAGCAAGGUUAACCGAAUAGGGGAGCCGAAGGGAAACCGAGUCUUAACUGGGCGUUAAGUUGCAGGGUAUAGACCCGAAACCCGGUGAUCUAGCCAUGGGCAGGUUGAAGGUUGGGUAACACUAACUGGAGGACCGAACCGACUAAUGUUGAAAAAUUAGCGGAUGACUUGUGGCUGGGGGUGAAAGGCCAAUCAAACCGGGAGAUAGCUGGUUCUCCCCGAAAGCUAUUUAGGUAGCGCCUCGUGAAUUCAUCUCCGGGGGUAGAGCACUGUUUCGGCAAGGGGGUCAUCCCGACUUACCAACCCGAUGCAAACUGCGAAUACCGGAGAAUGUUAUCACGGGAGACACACGGCGGGUGCUAACGUCCGUCGUGAAGAGGGAAACAACCCAGACCGCCAGCUAAGGUCCCAAAGUCAUGGUUAAGUGGGAAACGAUGUGGGAAGGCCCAGACAGCCAGGAUGUUGGCUUAGAAGCAGCCAUCAUUUAAAGAAAGCGUAAUAGCUCACUGGUCGAGUCGGCCUGCGCGGAAGAUGUAACGGGGCUAAACCAUGCACCGAAGCUGCGGCAGCGACGCUUAUGCGUUGUUGGGUAGGGGAGCGUUCUGUAAGCCUGUGAAGGUGUACUGUGAGGUAUGCUGGAGGUAUCAGAAGUGCGAAUGCUGACAUAAGUAACGAUAAAGCGGGUGAAAAGCCCGCUCGCCGGAAGACCAAGGGUUCCUGUCCAACGUUAAUCGGGGCAGGGUGAGUCGACCCCUAAGGCGAGGCCGAAAGGCGUAGUCGAUGGGAAACAGGUUAAUAUUCCUGUACUUGGUGUUACUGCGAAGGGGGGACGGAGAAGGCUAUGUUGGCCGGGCGACGGUUGUCCCGGUUUAAGCGUGUAGGCUGGUUUUCCAGGCAAAUCCGGAAAAUCAAGGCCGAGGCGUGAUGACGAGGCACUACGGUGCUGAAGCAACAAAUGCCCUGCUUCCAGGAAAAGCCUCUAAGCAUCAGGUAACAUCAAAUCGUACCCCAAACCGACACAGGUGGUCAGGUAGAGAAUACCAAGGCGCUUGAGAGAACUCGGGUGAAGGAACUAGGCAAAAUGGUGCCGUAACUUCGGGAGAAGGCACGCUGAUACGUAGGUGAAGCGACUUGCUCGUGGAGCUGAAAUCAGUCGAAGAUACCAGCUGGCUGCAACUGUUUAUUAAAAACACAGCACUGUGCAAACACGAAAGUGGACGUAUACGGUGUGACGCCUGCCCGGUGCCGGAAGGUUAAUUGAUGGGGUUAGCGCAAGCGAAGCUCUUGAUCGAAGCCCCGGUAAACGGCGGCCGUAACUAUAACGGUCCUAAGGUAGCGAAAUUCCUUGUCGGGUAAGUUCCGACCUGCACGAAUGGCGUAAUGAUGGCCAGGCUGUCUCCACCCGAGACUCAGUGAAAUUGAACUCGCUGUGAAGAUGCAGUGUACCCGCGGCAAGACGGAAAGACCCCGUGAACCUUUACUAUAGCUUGACACUGAACAUUGAGCCUUGAUGUGUAGGAUAGGUGGGAGGCUUUGAAGUGUGGACGCCAGUCUGCAUGGAGCCGACCUUGAAAUACCACCCUUUAAUGUUUGAUGUUCUAACGUGGACCCGUAAUCCGGGUUGCGGACAGUGUCUGGUGGGUAGUUUGACUGGGGCGGUCUCCUCCUAAAGAGUAACGGAGGAGCACGAAGGUUGGCUAAUCCUGGUCGGACAUCAGGAGGUUAGUGCAAUGGCAUAAGCCAGCUUGACUGCGAGCGUGACGGCGCGAGCAGGUGCGAAAGCAGGUCAUAGUGAUCCGGUGGUUCUGAAUGGAAGG